rnacentral:lncRNA from 1 species
UUAGUUUGUGAAUAUUUCUUUAUUUUUUGAGAGAAGGCAGCAUACUACCGUUUUAUUCAAUAAGGCCCCGUUUGGUUCGGGGAUAAGCGGGGAUUAUCCCCGCUAAUUCGCCAAAUGGGAUCAUUUUUUACCGGAAUAUUUUAUUCCGGUCAAAGCUUGCUAUUCCCGGUUAUUCCGGAAUAGCAAGCUUUUUACUAUUCCACCAUUUUAGUGGAAUAGUGCUAUUCCCAUGCUUAAUUUCAAACUUAAUUAAAAUUAUAAAAUAAAUUAAAACUAAAUUAUAUAAAUAUAAUAUAUUAUAUAUUAUAAUACAUUAUUUUUAUUAUAAAAUUAUUAAUUGUGCUAUAUUAAUACAUAUUAUUUAUAUUUAAAUUUUAUAAUAAAUUAUAUUUAAAUAUUAAAAUAAAUUAAAAUUUAAAAUUUAAAUAAAUUUAAAAUUUAAAAUAUUAUAAUAAAUUAUAUUUAAAAUUUAAAAUUUGUAAUCUCAAAAUUAAAGUUUAUAAUUUUAAAUUCCACAUUUUAAAUUUUAAAUUUAAAUUUUGAAAUUUUAAAUUUUUGAAAUUUUAAAUUUGAAUUUUAUUUUUUUUCAAAUUUAAAUUUGAUCUUAAAUUUAAAGUUAGAAAUUUAAAAUUUAAAUUUUGAAUUUAAAAUUUGAGAUUUUAAAUUUUAAAUUUAAAUUUCAAAAUUUGAAAUUUAAAAGUUAAAAUUUUAAAUUUUAAAAUAUAAAUAUAAAAUAUAAAAAUUUAAAUUCUAAUAUAAAUAAAAAAGUGAUAAUAUUAUUAAUUUUUAUUUAUAACUACCCACUUUAAAUCUUAUUCCAUCUUACCUAACCAAACGUUAUUUUUCUUAUUCCCAGGAAUAAUUCAAUUUUCAUCCAAACGCAAAAUUGAUCUAAUCCCCGCUUAUACCUCAAUUUAUAUCUAUCCCUGGAAUACUCAUUUUUUACUUAUCCCCGAACCAAAUGAUACCUAAGAAUAUGAACUUAGCUACAAGGUUACGGCAACGAGGCCACA